CUCAAAUUAAGUUACCGAGAAUCCACCAUCUUCACUAGUUUAAACCUGCAAGUGACCCAUGCCCCAGGCUGCAGAGGAAGGCGAAACCUCCCCUCCCCCCAGUCAAUCAAUGAGCAGUUGCCUGAUGUUUGGGACUCUCUUUAUUACAGUAUAUUUCUAAAAACGUUUCUGCCACUGACCAUGUGAUACGGAGGGAAACAGAGACGACGUUUUCAGGAAGUCAUUCCUGCUCCCCAUCUCACCAUUGCUCCACAGCCACUCCAACUUCAAGCCAGAGGCAGGAAAGCCACACGUGGAGCUUGGACCGGACGGAGAGCCUGACUUCUGAUUCGCAGUCUGGUAUGAUGCUCUCUUCAGUAGGAACCAGUAAAUG